GCUUUUAAAGGAUAACAGCUCAUCCAUUGGCCUUAGGAGCCAAAAACUCUUGGUGCAAAUCCAAGUAAAAGCU
rnacentral:tRNA from 1 species